rnacentral:misc_RNA from 1 species
GAUGAAGAACGUAGCGAAAUGCGAUACGUAAUGUGAAUUGCAGAAUUCAGUGAAUCAUCGAAUCUUUGAACGCAUAUUGCGCUCUCUGGUAUUCCGGAGAGCAUGCUUGUUUGAGUAUCAGUAAACACCUCAACUCCCUUUUCUUUUUUGAAAUUGGAGCUGGACUUGAGUGAUCCCAACGCUUUCUUCCAAGAAAGUGGCGGGUUGCUUGAAAUGCAGGUGCAGCUGAACUUUUCUCUGAGCUAUAAGCAUAUCUAUUUAGUCUGCCUAAAAAACAGAUUAUUACCUUUGCUGCAGCUAACAUAAAGGAGAUUAGUUCUUGUGCUGACUGAUGCAGGAUUCACAAAGACGGCUUCGGCCGACUUUGUAAACUCGAUCUCAAAUCAAGUAAGACUACCCGCUGAACUUAAGCAUAUCAAUAAGCGGAGGA